GAUGAAGAACGUAGCGAACUGCGAUAAGUAAUGUGAAUUGCAGAAUUCAGUGAAUCAUCGAGUCUUUGAACGCACAUUGCGCCCCCUGGCAUUCCGGGGGGCAUGCCUGUCCGAGCGUCAUUGCUGCCCUUCAAGCCCGGCUUGUGUGUUGGGUCGUCGUCCCCCCCGGGGGACGGGCCCGAAAGGCAGCGGCGGCACCGCGUCCGGUCCUCGAGCGUAUGGGGCUUUGUCACCCGCUCGAUUAGGGCCGGCCGGGCGCCAGCCGGCGUCUCCAACCUUCUAUUUUACCAGGUUGACCUCGGAUCAGGUAGGGAUACCCGCUGAACUUAAGCAUAUCAUAAGCGGAGGA
rnacentral:misc_RNA from 1 species